UACGAAGGGGGCUAGCGUUGCUCGGAAUCACUGGGCGUAAAGCGCACGUAGGCGGAUCUUUAAGUCAGGGGUGAAAUCCUGGAGCUCAACUCCAGAACUGCCUUUGAUACUGAGAGGCUUGAGUCCGGGAGAGGUGAGUGGAACUGCGAGUGUAGAGGUGAAAUUCGUAGAUAUUCGCAAGAACACCAGUGGCGAAGGCGGCUCACUGGCCCGGUACUGACGCUGAGGUGCGAAAGCGUGGGGAGCAAACAGG
rnacentral:rRNA from 1 species